GCGCGCAGGCGGUGAUUUAAGCAGGAUGUGAAAGGCUACGGCUCAACCGUAGACAUGCACCCUGAACUGGGUCACUUGAGUAUUGGAGAGGCAGGCAGAAUUCCUGGUGUAGCGGUGAAAUGCGUAGAUAUCAGGAGGAAUACCGGAGGCGAAGGCGGCCUGCUGGACAAAUACUGACGCUGAGGCGCGGAAAGCGUGGGGAGCAAACA
rnacentral:rRNA from 1 species